rnacentral:rRNA from 1 species
UACGGAGGGUGCGAGCGUUGUCCGGAAUCAUUGGGCGUAAAGCGCUCGCAGGCGGCUCGAUGCGUCGUGCGUGAAACACCCCGGCUCAACUGGGGAGGGUCGUGCGAUACGGUCGGGCUGGAGGCCAGUAGGGGGAUGCGGAAUUCCGGGUGUAGUGGUGGAAUGCGUAGAGAUCCGGAGGAACACCAGCGGCGAAGGCGGCAUCCUGGACUGGUCCUGACGCUCAGGAGCGAAAGCGUGGGGAGCGAUCCGG